GACUGUGGUCACAACCUAAUUAAUAUAUUAUCCUUCACUCGCUGAUAUUUUUGGAUAUCCAUGAGACGUUAUCAAUCGACGGCAAUAUGUUUUUAGUUACUUUUUACCCUUUUUGUUCUAGUGAUUUGAGAAGUCUGGUUUUUAGAAACUAUCCUGAUUGUUUUUUUUGUGUGUAGGAAAUGGACAUCCACAUUAAAAAGUCAGAUGCACGACUUUUAUUUGAAGUACAGUGCGAUCAUCUUUGCAUGUAUAGGAUCCGAGUUUGAUAUUCUUCUCGAAGUAUUUUAUAUUUGAAGAAUUCAAUCUUUUUCCCGGCCUCGCGGAACAUACCUUUUUUAGAAGCUUCUGCUAUGAAAAAAACCGCCAUAAAAUUCUACCGAAAUUAGAAAAAGUUGAAAUAUAUUU